UACGUAGGGGGCAAGCGUUGUCCGGAUUUAUUGGGCGUAAAGAGCGUGUAGGCGGUUUGGUAGGUCCGCUGUGAAAACUCGAGGCUCAACCUCGAGACGCCGGUGGAAACCAUCAGACUAGAGUCCGGAAGAGGAGAGUGGAAUUCCUGGUGUAGCGGUGAAAUGCGCAGAUAUCAGGAAGGAACACCAGUGGCGAAGGCGACCACCUGGACUGAUACUGACACUGAGGUGCGAAAGCGUGGGGAGCAAACAGG
rnacentral:rRNA from 1 species